AGAACGAACGCUGGCGGCGUGCCUAACACAUGCAAGUCGAGCGCGAAUAGGGGGCAACCCUUAGUAGAGCGGCGCACGGGUGCGUAACACGUGGGUAAUCUGCCUGGAAGCCUGGGAUAACUAGCCGAAAGGUUAGCUAAUACCAGAUGAGACCACGGACUCUUCGGAGUCUGAGGGAAAAGGUGGCCUCUGUAUACAAGCUAUCACUUCCAGAUGAGCCCGCGGCCCAUCAGCUAGUUGCGGGGUAAUGGCCCACCAAGGCAACGACGGGUAGCUGGUCUGAGAGGACGAUCAGCCACACUGGAACUGAGACACGGUCCAGACUCCUACGGGAGCAGCAGUGGGGAAUUUUGCGCAAUGGGCGAAAGCCUGACGCAGCAACGCCGCGUGUGUGAUGAAGGUCUUCGGAUUGUAAAGCACGUUUCGACCGGACGAAACCCGUUCACGACCCAAUACGCUAGAACGUCUUACGACGGUACCGGAGAAGAA
rnacentral:rRNA from 1 species